GCCGGGUGUAGUGGCCACGCCUGUCAUCCCAGCAGCUUGGGAGGCUGAGGCAGGAGGAUGACAGGUCCAAAGUCAGCCUCAGCAACUUAGGGAGACCCUGUCUCAA
rnacentral:sRNA from 1 species